GUCCCUUCCUGGCCUUUUAGCCAAAAUCAAGUGUAGUAUCCAUUCUUGUCAAUUUGAUGCCAGACAUAUCUUCAAUUUGAGGACUUGAUGUUAAAUGGGUCUGGGGAGUGGGAGCUUGACUUGGAGCUUGCUCUGUGCCUUGACCUAGCAAUGCCGUGCCCCCUGGAACAGGACUGGGUGA
rfam:Cathartes aura contig140013, whole genome shotgun sequence.